rnacentral:sRNA from 1 species
AACAUGCCUUAGACCAUUCACGGCAAUU